rnacentral:other from 1 species
GUCUGGAUGCGCUGGGUGGAUGCGGGGGAAGGGGCUCUUGGGAACUCGGUUGGAGCCAGGAGGCUCCAGCCAGGCGCAAGCACACACAGACUGCAGCCGCCUUAGGACCGCAGCCCCCACAGCCCACCUGGAGACUCCAGCACAGAAUGGCCUAGGGAUCCAGAUCCCACCAGUCUACAAGACCAGUGGAAAUUAGGGAGCGUCACGCCCUCCGCACAUCCGGUAAGAAGGAAGCAUCCUCCGGAUUAAAGAGAGAAGAGUGGAAAAAGUGCUUAGUCGCCAGCUGGGAGGACAGCGAUGCUGAGUUGCACUACGUCCACCAAG